rnacentral:rRNA from 1 species
CACGCAGUAAACGAUGAUUACUCGCUGUUUGCGAUACACAGUAAGCGGCUUAGCGAAAGCGUUAAGUAAUCCACCUGGGGAGUACGUUCGCAAGAAUGAAACUCAAAGGAAUUGACGGGGGCCCGCACAAGCGGAGGAACAUGUGGUUUAAUUCGAUGAUACGCGAGGAACCUUACCCGGGCUUGAAAUGCAUUUGACCGGCUCAGAGACGAGUCUUCCCUUCGGGGCAAAUGUGUAGGUGC